rnacentral:lncRNA from 1 species
UAAGGCGUCCCAAUCCCUGUAGGAUCAACCCUACUAUUCUAUACUACUAUUUAAUUAAGUUAGAGUGUAAGAAACUAUAUUUGGUGGUUUCGACGCCCAUCAAGUACUGAUCCACUGUAUUAAUCGUUGAAUCAUCACUUGGAAUCCGUUGGCGGAACUUUUUUUUUAAAGCUUAAUAGCUCAAUGACUUAAAUAAAAACAUUUGAAUAGUUUAGUA